GAACUGAAGAGUUUGAUCCUGGCUCAGAUUGAACGCUGGCGGCAUGCUUUACACAUGCAAGUCGAACGGCAGCGCGGGGCAACCUGGCGGCGAGUGGCGAACGGGUGAGUAAUACAUCGGAACGUACCCAGAAGUGGGGGAUAACGUAGCGAAAGUUACGCUAAUACCGCAUACGUUCUACGGAAGAAAGCGGGGGAUCUUCGGACCUCGUGCUUUUGGAGCGGCCGAUGUCUGAUUAGCUAGUUGGUGAGGUAAAGGCUCACCAAGGCGACGAUCAGUAGCUGGUCUGAGAGGACGACCAGCCACACUGGGACUGAGACACGGCCCAGACUCCUACGGGAGGCAGCAGUGGGGAAUUUUGGACAAUGGGCGCAAGCCUGAUCCAGCAAUGCCGCGUGAGUGAAGAAGGCCUUCGGGUUGUAAAGCUCUUUUGUCAGGGAAGAAACGGGGUUGGCUAAUAUCCG
rnacentral:rRNA from 1 species